rnacentral:rRNA from 1 species
GGCGGCAGGCCUAACACAUGCAAGUCGAACGGUAACAGGAAGCARYUUGCUGCUUCGCUGACGAGUGGCGGACGGGUGAGUAAUGUCUGGGAAACUGCCUGAUGGAGGGGGAUAACUACUGGAAACGGUAGCUAAUACCGCAUAACGUCGCAAGACCAAAGAGGGGGACCUUCGGGCCUCUUGCCAUCGGAUGUGCCCAGAUGGGAUUAGCUAGUAGGUGGGGUAACGGCUCACCUAGGCGACGAUCCCUAGCUGGUCUGAGAGGAUGACCAGCCACACUGGAACUGAGACACGGUCCAGACUCCUACGGGAGGCAGCAGUGGGGAAUAUUGCACAAUGGGCGCAAGCCUGAUGCAGCCAUGCCGCGUGUAUGAAGAAGGCCUUCGGGUUGUAAAGUACUUUCAGCGGGGAGGAAGGYGUUGAGGUUAAUAACCUCAGCAAUUGACGUUACCCGCAGAAGAAGCACCGGCUAACUCCGUGCCAGCCAGCCGCGGUAAUACGGAGGGUGCAAGCGUUAAUCGGAAUUACUGGGCGUAAAGCGCACGCAGGCGGUCUGUCAAGUCGGAUGUGAAAUCCCCGGGCUCAACCUGGGAACUGCAUUCGAAACUGGCAGGCUAGAGUCUUGUAGAGGGGGGUAGAAUUCCAGGU